GUCCCUGUAGCUUAAAUCAAAGCAUGGCACUGAAGAUGCCAAGAUGGGACACCACCCCAAGGAC
rnacentral:tRNA from 1 species